rnacentral:misc_RNA from 1 species
UGUAGAAUCGAAUUAAUUAGUAACCAACAGACAGUCAAAACUUCCUCAUCUGCUGUAUUCAAACUGGAAGAAUUGACGUUCGUACCUUUGCAGACUGAAAAUCAUUAUACCAUUAUCCCUACGAAAAAUGUGCAGAUCGACGUGUGGCGGCACUCGACCACGGAAUUUUCCAACGGCUUCGCGACACAAAGCGCUAUUACCUUCAAAGCGUAAAGCCGACAUGCCUAAUGUACCAUCGAUAUUCCUACGAUUCUUUCGCCGAAUAUUCGGAAGAAUGCAUACGCGGCAACCGUCGCGGACUUCUAAUAAACGCGCGCGUAGUGGGGAUAUCGAGGGGCAACAAAGGAAAGAAUCUGUUUGGUUUUGAACCAAAAGAUUCAUUCUGCCCCGAGCUGCGAAGUGCGAAAGGUUAAGCGAAGCAAACACAAUUAGAGAAACGAGUAGUCGACUCUUGAUAGUUCAGUGUUAAUCGUUAUUUGUUAUUAAUCGUGGUUAAUCGUUAAUCGUGGUUAAUCGUUAUUUGUUGUUAAUUGUUAAGAGUUUAAUAAACGUUAUUGUUGAAAAUCAAGAGUAUUUCUUGUGGGCACCUUUACCGACGAUCAUCUUAGAAU